rnacentral:rRNA from 1 species
UACGGAGGGUGCGAGCGUUGUCCGGAAUCACUGGGCGUAAAGGGUGCGUAGGCGGCCCUGUAAGUCAGCGGUGAAAUACGGCAGCUCAACUGUCGAGGUGCCGUUGAUACUGCGGGGCUUGAGUGUUGACGAGGCAGGCGGAAUUGACGGUGUAGCGGUGAAAUGCUUAGAUAUCGUCAAGAACACCGAUAGCGAAGGCAGCCUGCCGGGCAACAACUGACGCUGAGGCACGAAAGUGCGGGGAGCAAACAGG